UGCAGCAACGCCGCGUGAGGGAUGACGGCCUUCGGGUUGUAAACCUCUUUUGUCAGGGAAGAAGCGAAUGUGACGGUACCUGCAGAAAAAGCGCCGGCUAACUACGUGCCACCCCCCGCGGUAAUACUGCCGGCGCAAGCGUUAUCCGGAAUUAUUGGGCGUAAAGAGCUCGUAGGCGGUUUGUCGCGUCUGCUGUGAAAUCCGGAGGCUCAACCUCCGGCCUGCAGUGGGUACGGGCAGACUACAGUGCGGUAGGGGAGAUUGGAAUUCCUGGUGUAGCGAUGGAAUGCCCAGAGUACAAGAGGAACACCGAUAGCGAAGGCAGAUCUCUGGUCCGGAACUGACUCUCAGGAACCAAAGGGUGGGGAGCAGACAGGCUUAGAUGCCCUGGUACUCCACCCCGUACACGGGGGGAACUAGUUGUGGGGUCCAUUCCACGGAUGCCGUGACGCCACUGACGCAUUAACUUCCCCGCCUGGGGAGUACGGCCGCAAGGCUAAAACUCAGAGGAAUUGACGGGGACCCGGACAAGCGGGGGACCAUGCGGAUUAAUUCGAUGCAACGCUUAGAACCUUACCACGGCUUGACAUAUACCAGAACGGGCCAGAAAUGGUCAACUCUUUGGACACUC
rnacentral:rRNA from 1 species